GCGGAGGAAGCCGAAGCAGGUGGGAACCUGAGCCGAAGACGGUGAGAGCCCGGUAGGCGCAACGAAGCGAGUGGGGUAGAAUCCGGAGUACCACGGGGCACGAGGAACCUUGUGGGAAGCAGGGGGGACCACCCUCCAAGGCGAAAUACUGAUAUGGACCGAUAGCGAAGAGUACCGAGAGGGAACGGUGAAAAGAACCCCGGGAGGGGAAUGAAAGAGAACCUGAAACCGUAUGCCUACAAGCAGUCGGAGCACGAUAAGGGUGUGACGGCGUGCCUAUUGAAGAAUGAACCGGCGAGUUGGUAUAUCCGGCAAGGUUAAGCGGAAGACGCGGAGCCGAAGCGAAAGCGAGUCUGAAGAGGGCGAGAAGUCGGAUAUAGCAGACCCGAAACCACAGUGAUCUAUCCAUGCCCAGGUUGAAGCACAGGUAACAAUGUGUGGAGGACCGAACCAGUGAGCGUUGAAAAGCUUUUGGAUGAGGUGUGGAUAGGGGUGAAAUGCCAAUCGAACGUGGAGAUAGCUGGUUCUCCCCGAAAUAGCUUUAGGGCUAGCCUCAUGGAGAGAGUAGUGGCGGUAGAGCACUGAACAGGGAAGGGGCCAGAAGGUUACCGAACCUAAUCAAACUACGAAUGGCAGUACUUAUACAUGGGAGUCAGACUGCGAGUGAUAAGACCCGCAGUCAAGAGGGAAACAGCCCGGACCAACCGCUAAGGUCCCCAAUGCCGUGCUAAGUGGAAAAGGAGGUGACGUUUCGAAAACAACCGGGAUGUUGGCUCAGAAGCAGCCAUCAUUAAAAGAGUGCGUAAUAGCUCACCGGUCGAGAGACGUCGCGCCGAAGAUGACCGGGGCUCAAGCACGGAACCGAAGCGAUGGCAUGUAUGGAAGACAUACAUGGGUAGGGGAGCGUUCCUAUGGGGGAGAAGCCUGACCGGAAGGACAGGUGGACCGAUAGGAAGAGAGAAUGCCGGUAUGAGUAGCGAAAAGAAAGGUGAGAAUCCUUUCCACCGAAAGCCGAAGGGUUCCCGGGCAACGAUCGUCGACCCGGGGUAAGUCGGGACCUAAUCCGAGGCGAAGGCGCAUAGGAGAUGGAGAGCAGGUUGAAAUUCCUGCACCGGCGCAGACCGAUAGAGCGAGGGAGUGACACAAGAAGGAACGUUCGCAUGCGAAUGGAAGAGCAUGUCCAAGCAGGUAGGGAGUGUGGCAGGCAAAUCCGGCACACAAAAAGCCCGAGAUGUGAUGGGGAGGCUGUAGAGAUACAGGCGAAGGAACGGGGACUCGAUUGUCAAGAAAAGCUUCUAGCGAGGGCUGCGGCGCCCGUACCAAAACCGACACAGGUAGGCGGGAAGAGAAUUCUAAGGUGCGCGGGAAAACCCUCGUUAAGGAACUCGGCAAAAUGUAUCCGUAACUUCGGGAAAAGGAUAACCCCGAGUAGGUGAGGACCGGAAGCGGUAGGAGCUGAAAGGGGUGGCACAAGAGAGGCCCAAGCGACUGUUUAGCACAAACACAGGCGUCUGCAAAAGCGAAAGCUGACGUAUAGAUGCUGACACCUGCCCGGUGCCGGAAGGUUAAGAGGACGUGUAAGCUGAAAGGCGAAGCAGAGAAUUGAAGCCCCGGUAAACGGCGGCCGUAACUAUAACGGUCCUAAGGUAGCGAAAUUCCUUGUCGGGUAAG
rnacentral:rRNA from 1 species